UACGUAGGGCGCAAGCGUUAUCCGGAAUUAUUGGGCGUAAAGAGCUCGUAGGCGGCUUGUUGCGUCGUCCGUGAAAACCCGUGGCUCAACUGCGGGCUUGCGGUCGAUACGGGCAGGCUGGAGUUCGGUAGGGGAGACUGGAAUUCCUGGUGUAGCGGUGAAAUGCGCAGAUAUCAGGAGGAACACCGGUGGCGAAGGCGGGUCUCUGGGCCGAUACUGACGCUGAGGAGCGAAAGCGUGGGGAGCGAACAGG
rnacentral:rRNA from 1 species